rnacentral:rRNA from 1 species
GGCGAACGCUGGCGGCGUGCUUAACACAUGCAAGUCGAGCGGUAAGGCCCUUUCGGGGGUACACGAGCGGCGAACGGGUGAGUAACACGUGGGUGACCUGCCCUCGGCUCUGGGAUAAGCCUGGGAAACCGGGUCUAAUACUGGAUAUGACUCCAUGACGCAUGUUGUGGGGUGGAAAGCCUUGUGCGGCUGAGGAUGGGCCCGCGGCCUAUCAGCUUGUUGGUGGGGUGAUGGCCUACCAAGGCGACGACGGGUAGCCGGCCUGAGAGGGCGACCGGCCACACUGGGACUGAGACACGGCCCAGACUCCUACGGGAGGCAGCAGUGGGGAAUCUUGCGCAAUGGGCGAAAGCCUGACGCAGCGACGCCGCGUGAGGGAUGACGG